AUUGAGCGCUGGCGGCAGGCCUAACACAUGCAAGUCGAGCGGAUGAAGGGAGCUUGCUCCUGGAUUCAGCGGCGGACGGGUGAGUAAUGCCUAGGAAUCUGCCUGGUAGUGGGGGAUAACGUCCGGAAACGGGCGCUAAUACCGCAUACGUCCUGAGGGAGAAAGUGGGGGAUCUUCGGACCUCACGCUAUCAGAUGAGCCUAGGUCGGAUUAGCUAGUUGGUGGGGUAAAGGCCUACCAAGGCGACGAUCCGUAACUGGUCUGAGAGGAUGAUCAGUCACACUGGAACUGAGACACGGUCCAGACUCCUACGGGAGGCAGCAGUGGGGAAUAUUGGACAAUGGGCGAAAGCCUGAUCCAGCCAUGCCGCGUGUGUGAAGAAGGUCUUCGGAUUGUAAGGCACUUUAAGUUGGGAGGAAGGGCAGUAAGUUAAUACCUUGCUGUUUUGACGUUACCAACAGAAUAAGCACCGGCUAACUUCGUG
rnacentral:rRNA from 1 species